UCUCCAUCUCUUUGUACAGGCCAUCCAAAGAUGGGAUGACGUUUCAAUGAAUUCACUUCCCAACUACAUGAGGGCAUGCUUCAAGGCAUUAAAUAGCACUAUCAAUGAGAUUGCCCAGAUUGUGCUCAAGGAACAUGGAUGGAAUCCAAUCAAA